rfam:Oryza rufipogon genomic scaffold, chr11
UAUAAGUAAAGAUGUGGGUUUUCGUUUCCAACGUUUGACCUUUCAUCUUAUUUGAAAUUUAUGAUUAGUAUUUUUUUAUUAAUACAUGAUAAAACAUGAAUAAUACUUUAUGUGAGACUGAUUUUUUUUAUUUUUUCAUUAAAUUUUUUCAUAACAAACGGUCAAAUGUUUAACACGAAAACCACGACUGCACUUAUA